rnacentral:lncRNA from 1 species
UCCUCUGAGCAUCUUCGGCCCGAAGGGCUACCCGGCUGCUAAGAGCGCAGACCCGGCGGGCCUGGUGGUUCCCGUUCUCCCGGCCCAGCGCCGCGCCGUCGACUCAGCACCAAGGGGCCCCGAAGGCAAUCCGUGGGAGGGAGCCACGGGCUCGCGAGGAGGCUGCGAGGCGAUCCACGACCUUUCGGGAUGUGAUGCUCACCCGGGACGGGGCUGGGGGACCGCAGAGCCGUGACUCGCCCGGGACCCAGAGCAGAAACUCCAGGUCGCUUCUGGCAUUUUACCUGCAAAAGCAGAUGAGCACACGAGCCCAGAGAGCUGAUUUCCCCCGGUCGCACAGCUAGAGAGCCCAGGAUGGCUUCUUGCUCAGUGCCAUACUCUGUGAAAAUUAUUGGAGAGACCGGCCAGAAGGGAGAGGAAGUGAUGAAGAGGAUUAACACCCUGCUUCUAAUUCUGGCCACCUCAGAGGCUCUGCACGGAAAAUCAGAAGUGACAGGAAUCCUGGAAGAGGGCCACCUGGCCAUCAGAAAAUUCCAGAGAGAUGUGGUCACUGCCAGACAUACAGUCGAUUGGCCAUUUCAUCCGAAAAUGUUCUUUAAACUAACCGGAAGUGGGUCUGGCUCCAAGCUACUGCCAAGUCUCCCCUGUCGUUGGUUUUCCUGUGUGUGUAAAGCAAGGUGCGAGGAAAAGAAAAGGACACCCCUGUCACACCUGGGAAGACAGAACACUCAUCCCAUACAUACAGAGGACAAUGUCAAGACAUUACGGGAGCAUACUGAAGAUCUCCCAGUUUUGCAAAAUACAUGCUAGGGGGACUACAAGAUGGAACAGAGCUCUGAUUAUCCAUACUUAAUUAUUCAUGGCUGGUGUUAUCUAAUAUUAAUAAAGCAAACAAAUGCAAUGC